UUGACUUGAUUGUUGUGACUAUGGCACAAUGUUUCAUAAAGUAAGAUAGGAUCCCGACGUGACCUGAUGGUAAGUAGUAAUUAUAUUAUUAUUCACCUUUUAAAUCUUACGAUAUUAUUUAAAUAUUGUUUUCUUUACUGAGUAUAUGGAACUCACUCUUUUCAUACCCCCCAAAUGAGGAAGGUAGUGAGGAACCGUCCACUGACCUACCCUUUGAAAUCUAUGAGGAUCCCGUGGGUCACAAACAUUGAGUGCAUGACUGUUCCCGCACUUUGAUAAGUCCAAUAGCAUAAUGAUAGAAGUGACCUUUUUUGUAUUUUAAUAUUUUGUAUUUUGUUGUCACUUCUAGCCUUAGUUAUAUUUAUAUGUGUAAUUGGAACUUAUAUAUUUUGUAAGGGAUUUGUAAUAAUUUGCUCUACUAUAUAUAAUUUUAUCAUGCACUCGUAAUCUAUUUUUGGAUUUGCCACCCUUAUGCCUUAAUUUGCUCUUCUAUGUUUUGCUUCCUAUUUAAAAGCAAAGGGUGGAUCAGGG
rnacentral:lncRNA from 1 species